rnacentral:rRNA from 1 species
GACGAACGCUGGCGGCGUGCUUAACACAUGCAAGUCGAACGGAAAGGCCCUGCUCUUGUUGGGUGCUCGAGUGGCGAACGGGUGAGUAACACGUGUGUAUCCUGCCCUUGACUUUGUGAUAACUUCAGGAAACUCCGGCUCAUACCGGGUAGGAUCUCCUGCUGCAUGUUGUUCGUUGGAAAGUUUCGGCUGUUGUGGAUUGACUCGCUGCUUAUCAGCUUGUUGGUGGGGUAGUUGCUUACCAAGGCUUUGACGGCUAGCCGGCCUGAGAGGGUUACCGGGCACAAGGGGACUGAGAGACGGAGCAGAAGCCUACGGGAGGCAGCAGGGGGGAAUAUGGCACAAUGGGCGGAAGCCUGAGGCAGAAACGCCGCGUGCGGGAAGAUGGGCUUCGGGGGGAAAACAGAUUUGGAAGGUGAAGAAGAGGGAGUGACGGUAAUGGGUAAGGAAGCAACGGCUAACUACGUG